UACGUAGGGUGCAAGCGUUGUCCGGAAUUAUUGGGCGUAAAGCGUCCGAAGGUGGCAGUUCAAGUCUGCUGUCAAAGACUGGGGCUUAACCCUAGAAAGGCAGUGAAAACUGAACAGCUAGAGUGCGGUAGGGGUAGAGGGAAUUCCCGGUGUAGCGGUGAAAUGCGUAGAGAUCGGGAAGAACACCAGUGGCGAAAGCGCUCUGCUGGACCUGCACUGACACUGAGGGACGAAAGCUAGGGGAGCGAAUGGG
rnacentral:rRNA from 1 species